AUUGAACGCUGGCGGCAUGCCUUACACAUGCAAGUCGAACGGCAGCACGGGAGCAAUCCUGGUGGCGAGUGGCGAACGGGUGAGUAAUAUAUCGGAACGUGCCCAGUCGUGGGGGAUAACGUAGCGAAAGCUACGCUAAUACCGCAUACGAUCUAUGGAUGAAAGCGGGGGAUCGCAAGACCUCGCGCGACUGGAGCGGCCGAUAUCAGAUUAGGUAGUUGGUGAGGUAAAGGCUCACCAAGCCGACGAUCUGUAGCUGGUCUGAGAGGACGACCAGCCACACUGGGACUGAGACACGGCCCAGACUCCUACGGGAGGCAGCAGUGGGGAAUUUUGGACAAUGGGCGCAAGCCUGAUCCAGC
rnacentral:rRNA from 1 species